rnacentral:lncRNA from 1 species
CUAUUGUUAUGGUGCGUUAUUUAUGCGUCAAAUAUAUUUUCCAAUUAGGUAUAUUUUCAACCUUUAGGCUUCGGGUUCAAAUUAUAUUAACGCUACCGUAACACAAAUAGCAUGAAACCUUAUACCUUUUAUAUAUUUUAUUUACUUUCAACAAUAUGAAUUAGCGUCUCUAUAACGUUAUAAUAAUAUAGUAAUCUUAAUAUAUCAACUUAUCUCUCUAUUUGUUUGAGCUGAGCACAACUUUGAAUCUUUAUUCUUUAUACUUUGUAUUCCGUCGUCUUUAAUAAUAAUUAUUCCACAAUAUUCCAAUGUUCUUCAGUUUACUUGACGAGGCUUAAUUAUCUAGCCUUUUAAUUAUAUACUUCAGCCUUUGUUGGCUUAUGAAGUAAUUUAGCCUAAAUGGCUCUUCUCACUUCACUCUCCGCUCUCGACUCUCAGGUUGUGCUCAGCUUUUAUAAUAAAUUUUAGAGGAAGAAAUCUGUAACUAUGACUAAUUUCCUCUACGCAAUAUGUUUGUCAAAGCAAGUUCUAGCAGUGUUUAU